rnacentral:rRNA from 1 species
CCUACGGGUGGCAGCAGUAGGGAAUCUUCCACAAUGGGCGAAAGCCUGAUGGAGCAACGCCGCGUGGGUGAAGAAGGUCUUCGGAUCGUAAAACCCUGUUGUUAGAGAAGAAAGAGCGUGAGAGUAACUGUUCACGUGUAGACGGUAUCGAACCAGAAAGCCACGGCUAACUACGAGCCAGCAGCCGCGGUAAGACGUAGGUGGCAAGCGUUAUCCGGAUUUAUUGGGCGUAAAGGGAACGCGGGCGGUCUUUUAAGUCUGAGGUGAAAGCCUUCGGCUUAACCGGUGUAGUGCAUUGGACACUGGUAGACUUGAGUGCAGGAUAGGGGAGUGGAACUCCAUGUGUAGCGGU